GUCUGUGUGAGUGAAAGACAGAGGGAGAGAGAGGGACAGAUUGAUGCUUAGUGUGAGCACUCAGGUCGCAUCAGAGCAUCGGGCGUAUAGUGUGAGACCCUGCAUCGUGACCUACGAACUUCUAACCCCUGCGAGUCAAUCGUACAGUUUGAGCAGGCGCUGAAUAACGCCACUGAAAAAUCGCACAGCGUAUGCCCAAGGCUCCGCCGAUGCUGAUGGAAAUGGACAAAACGUUAAGAAACGCAAAGCCAGAGGAACAGACUAACACACACUAAUGCUGUUUUUGACUUCUAUUUAUGCCCUUAGUAGGCGUGACCUAACGGCCGCACUUCAAAGCACGGCCGCACUUCAAAGCACUCAGCCUUUUGACGCGUCAUGUAAUCUUCCUUCUCAUGGCGCAACUCCUCCCACUCAUUCAUAAUCCGACCUCCGCGUUUGCACUCGUCCUACAAGAGCUCCCAAAUUUGAACAUCAUUGAUGUUCAUCGGAUUUACAGAGUGACGACAAACCCCGUCAGCAUGUUAGAUAAAGGAUUUAAGUUAUAUGCUGCAUCAUAUAUACACAACUACGAAGAUUAAGCUUCUGGAUUCAUCGCCAGUGCUCCUGUGUGGCAGGUGCUGUUAUGUGCAAUCACACAGUGGCACUGCUCUUCCAAACAGCACACUACUCACAACUCAGAGUGCCGGUUGUCCCCCUGUGCAUAGCUGCACCGAAUCUGAACAGCAAUGGCACAAGCCACGGACAGUGGGUGUGAAGCCAGGACCUAUCAACUCUAUGAUCUUCACUAAGCCGGUACCAAAUAGGAUGGCCCAGACUGGAGUACGGAGUGGAUUCUACAGAGGCAUUGUGGGUCCAUUACCAGAUCCCUGACCUGACAAGCCCCUUGUGGAAAGUGCCUUUGGGCUGGUGCAGGAGGGCAGUGUUCUGUCAUGUCAGCAGCCGGUUUUGACAACCCGGUACAUCACACUACACCGUGAUGCACCACCAACACCGCACUUGCCUCUGGAGGGUAUGACAUCAAGGAAACCCUGCUCGCUCAGACAGCCUGUGAUAUUUUCUCAAACCGCUGCGCUGAACAAGUUUCCAAAGAACAUGCUGUGUGACACAAUAAAUAUCCUUUAACCUGUUAACCUGUGGCUUCUGGAAGAAACUCGGGUGAGUCAGUCACUGCAAACACAUUUGUAUCAUCAAGUGUUUGUCAAAUGAAAAUGAUAUGUUUUUCUACACUUAGGAUAAUUUUCUAUGUUGCAGUGCAGUAAAGUGCAUGUUUCUUCUGUGUUCAAUCAUACAUGUUCUAAUUGUUAUAAACAGAAAAAAUCUUUUCUUACUUAACUGCUUGAUUCUUAACUUGUUUAACUGAAACAUGAUGAAAUGUCAUAGUAUUAUUUUUUUUUAAAUGUCCUUGGCAGUGCAUGUGUCCGCAUUGUAACUUACUAAUAAAAAGUCCUGUGUGUACUUUGGUGUGUGUUUUAUGUUAUUUUAUUGCAAAUAAAUAAUAGUCAUUUGAUUUUACAGUUACACACAAUCUUAUAUCUCUGGCAUGGCAUGGCAAGGCAAUAUCGGGUACAUGCAAUUUGAAACCUGACAUUCCAGAGCAAAGCAUGAAGCACACAGCACGUGGUCAACGUGACUCAUAUGGAGACUGACA
ensembl:lncRNA